UACGAAGGGGGGCUAGCGUUGCUCGGAAUCACUAGGCGUAAAGGGUGCGUAGGCGGGUCUUUAAGUCAGGGGUGAAAUCCUGGAGCUCAACUCCAGAACUGCCUUUGAUACUGAGGAUCUUGAGUUCGGGAGAGGUGAGUGGAACUGCGAGUGUAGAGGUGAAAUUCGUAGAUAUUCGCAAGAACACCAGUGGCGAAGGCGGCUCACUGGCCCGAUACUGACGCUGAGGCACGAAAGCGUGGGGAGCAAACAGGG
rnacentral:rRNA from 1 species